UACGUAGGGCGCAAGCGUUGUCCGGAAUUAUUGGGCGUAAAGAGCUCGUAGGCGGUCUGUCGCGUCGGCUGUGAAAAUCCGGGGCUCAACCCCGGACUUGCAGUGGGUACGGGCAGACUAGAGUGUGGUAGGGGGAGACUGGAAUUCCUGGUGUAGCGGUGAAAUGCGCAGAUAUCAGGAGGAACACCGAUGGCGAAGGCAGGUCUCUGGGCAUUAAACUGACGCUGGAGG
rnacentral:rRNA from 1 species